UGACUAAGCCAUGCGAGUCGAGAGGGUUCGGCCCUCGGCGUACUGCUCAGUAACACGUGGAUAACCUGCCCUAAGGAAGGGGAUACCCUCGGGAAACUGAGGAUAAUACCCUAUAGGUUACCGAUGCUGGAAUGCUCGGUAACUCAAAGUUCCGGCGCCUUAGGAUGGAUCUGCGGCCGAUUAGGUAGUUGUUGGGGUAACGGCCCAACAAGCCCGUAAUCGGUACGGGUUGUGGGAGCAAGAGCCCGGAGUUGGAUUCUGAGACACGAAUCCAGGCCCUACGGGGCGCAGCAGGCGCGAAAACUUUACAAUGCGGGCAACCGUGAUAAGGGAACCUCGAGUGCCUGUACAUGCAGGCUGUCUGGGUGUCUAAAACACACCCAAAGAAAGGGCCGGGCAAGACCGGUGCCAGCCGCCGCGGUAAUACCGGCGGCUCGAGUGGUGGCCACUUUUAUUGGGCUUAAAGCGUUCGUAGCUGGGUUGUUAAGUCUCUUGGGAAAUCCGGCGGCUUAACCGUCGGGCGUCUAAGAGAUACUGGCAAUCUUGGAACCGGGAGAGGUGAGGGGUACUUCGGGGGUAGGAGUGAAAUCCUGUAAUCCUCGAGGGACCACCUGUGGCGAAGGCGCCUCACCAGAACGGCUUCGACAGUGAGGGACGAAAGCUGGGGGAGCAAACCGGAUUAGAUACCCGGGUAGUCCCAGCCGUAAACGAUGUGCGUUAGGUGUAUCGACGACCACGAGUCGUCGAGGUGCCGAAGGGAAACCGUGAAACGUACCGCCUGGGAAGUACGGUCGCAAGGCUGAAACUUAAAGGAAUUGGCGGGGGAGCA
rnacentral:rRNA from 1 species